rnacentral:lncRNA from 1 species
AUGAAGCAGUUAAACAGAAAACUCAAGUCAGUUGGCUACGUUCCGAUCCCAGAGAACCAGAGCAGGUGGUUCCUCUGCCAGAGAGACAAUUACAGUGAGAAGCGGGAAACAACCAAAGAGGAAAAGAUUUUUGAGAACCUGUGGCCCUAGACAACUCAUGGACAGGUGCUAUUUAUGGAACUGCCUGUCCCAGGAGUGAGCUGCCUAUCCCAGAGGUCCAGCCCCAAGGAGGCCCUGCGUAGUUUGUGACACGUUUUCCUGAGGGUGGACAAUUUUCAAGACUAGCCAACAGCUGCUACGAGUUUUUACUAAGAAAGGCUAUCGUUACAAUGGAGAGGACAACACAAAAGACUUCUGGGGAACCAGGGUCUUCUGGCUUCCUCACUUCUGGUCCAACCCAGGCUGGACUGUAGCACAUCAGCGCCCCAUGAACCCAGAGCCUAAAGUCUGUGGUGAGGUGGGACCGGGGGCGGGGGGGGGGGGGGG